CACAUGCAAGUCGAACGGUAACAGGAAGCAGCUUGCUGUUUCGCUGACGAGUGGCGGACGGGUGAGUAAUGUCUGGGAAACUGCCUGAUGGAGGGGGAUAACUACUGGAAACGGUAGCUAAUACCGCAUAACGUCGCAAGACCAAAGAGGGGGACCUUCGGGCCUCUUGCCAUCGGAUGUGCCCAGAUGGGAUUAGCUAGUAGGUGGGGUAACGGCUCACCUAGGCGACGAUCCCUAGCUGGUCUGAGAGGAUGACCAGCCACACUGGAACUGAGACACGGUCCAGACUCCUACGGGAGGCAGCAGUGGGGAAUAUUGCACAAUGGGCGCAAGCCUGAUGCAGCCAUGCCGCGUGUAUGAAGAAGGCCUUCGGGUUGUAAAGUACUUUCAGCGGGGAGGAA
rnacentral:rRNA from 1 species